GGGUGUGUAGCUCAGUUGGUUAGAGCGUCUCGUUUACACCGAGAAGGUCUGGGGUUCAAAUCCUCACACACCCA
rnacentral:tRNA from 1 species